rnacentral:sRNA from 2 species
GUCCAAUCAUCAUGAGGAAUAUACUUAUACUUAUAUACCUCGAGGCUCGGGGUUUGAAUCGUCACAAAAGCGAGGCUGGGGGAAAGGAAAGGGGAAAUUGAAGCCUAGCCUAUUGUGUAUCCUAGCCGCCCAGGAUUCCUCUUGCAAUUCCCAUUCAUGCGCAUGGCGCAUCCCGUUCGUUAUUCCAUUCCAUUCCCUUGGGAAUCCACAGACACGGCGGCUCAAGGUAAACCGUUAAUUUGACAGAAUUUGUUCCCUUGGUAAGGAAGGCGUUUUAAGGCAGGUUGGGUAGUUGGUUAACUACGCUGUAGAUUAUUAUGUGCUCCCGUUCAUCAUUCAUUAUUGGAUUGGAGACGAAAUUUAGUAUCUAUCCCCCGGAUGCGAUUAUUACUCUUUUUUUUUUGCUAUUUUGCUAUUUUGCUAUUUUGCUAUUUUGCUAUGCUCCCGCGGCGAAAGGUUCCACGAACAGC